UCCUCGUUAGCUCAAUCGGCAGAGCGAGCGGCUGUUAACCGCUAGGUUCGUGGUUCGAGUCCACGACGAGGAGCCU
rnacentral:tRNA from 1 species